rnacentral:tRNA from 1 species
CUGGGUGUAGCGCAGAUGGUAGCGCACAAGUCUGGGGGGCUUGGGGUCGCAGGUUCAAGUCCUGUCACUCAGA